rnacentral:ncRNA from 1 species
AUUUAAAAACCCCCUAAGGGAGGGGGGACCAACUCCCCCGCCGAAAGCAAUUGGCCCCUUAAAAGGAAGGCGGUUAAGUUGUAUACCCUUUACAUUACCGCUAAAAUAAAAUGUUUUAUAUUACUUGUAAUAUAAUUUUGAAAAUUUAGUGAGUAGGAAGGUACAAUUGUGUGCAUAGAAGUGUUUGGCGUAAGCCUGCAUGGAGCCGCUAUUGGUACAGAUCCUUGGUGGUAGUAGCAAAAUAAUCGAAUGAGACCUUGGAGGACUGAAGUGGAGAAGGGUUUCGUGUGAACAGUGGUUGAUCACGAGUUAGUCGGUCCUAAGUUCAAGGCGAAAGCCGAAAAUUUUCAAGUAAAGAAAAAUCUAAAUAUAUUUGUCAUCUAACCGAUUUUUAUACACUUGAAUAAUUUUGAACGAAAGGGAAUACGGUUCCAAUUCCGUAACCUGUUGAGUAUCCGUUUGUUAUUAAAUAUGGGCCUCGUGCUCAUCCUGGCAACAGGAACGACCAUAAAGAAGCCGUCGAGAGGUAUCGGAAGAGUUUUCUUUUCUGUUUUAUAGCCGUACUACCAUGGAAGUCUUUCGCAGAGAGAUAUGGUAGAUGGGCUAGAAGAGCAUGACAUAUACUGUUGUGUCGAUAUUUUCUCCUCGGACCUUGAAAAUUUAUGGUGGGGACACGCAAACUUCUCAACAGGCCGUACCAAUAUCCGCAGCUGGUCUCCAAGGUGAAGAGUCUCUAGUCGAUAGAAUAAUGUAGGUAAGGGAAGUCGGCAAAUUAGAUCCGUAACUUCGGGAUAAGGAUUGGCUCUGAAGAUUGAGAUAGUCGGGCUUGAUUGGGAAACAAUAACAUGGUUUAUGUGCUCGUUCUGGGUAAAUAAAGUUUCUAUCAUUUAUGGUAGUUUCUUGUUCCCCGGAUAGUUUAGUUACGUAGCCAAUUGUGGAACUUUCUUGCUAAAAUUUUUAAGAAUACUAGUUGGGCUACCAAUUAGUUCUUUUAAAUUAUAACGAUUAUCAAUU